AUUGAACGCUGGCGGCAUGCCUUACACAUGCAAGUCGAACGGCAGCACGGGUGCUUGCACCUGGUGGCGAGUGGCGAACGGGUGAGUAAUACAUCGGAACAUGUCCUGUAGUGGGGGAUAGCCCGGCGAAAGCCGGAUUAAUACCGCAUACGAUCUACGGAUGAAAGCGGGGGACCUUCGGGCCUCGCGCUAUAGGGUUGGCCGAUGGCUGAUUAGCUAGUUGGUGGGGUAAAGGCCUACCAAGGCGACGAUCAGUAGAUGGUCUGAGAGGACGACCAGCCACACUGGGACUGAGACACGGCCCAGACUCCUACGGGAGGCAGAAGUGGGGAAUUUUGGACAAUGGGCGAAAGCCUGAUCCAGCAAUGCCGCGUGUGUGAAGAAGGCCUUCGGGUUGUAAAGCACUUUUGUCCGGAAAGAAAUCCUUGGCUCUAAUACAGUCGGGGGAUGACGGUACCGGAAGAAUAAGCACCGGCUAACUACGUG
rnacentral:rRNA from 1 species